CUGGCCCUGAAUCAAGGCCUGCAGCUUCCUGACACUGCUGGUUUCCAGCAGGAGCCUAAAGAUGUCUUUCAAUAGUCUGUUGGCUAUUAAUGAACUUGGGCAGGGAAAUGGUCAAUUCAUUAGAGAGAAACAGCU
ensembl:snoRNA small nucleolar RNA SNORA2/SNORA34 family